rnacentral:tRNA from 1 species
GGGCCUGUAGCUCAGUUCGGUUAGAGCGCUACUCUGAUAAAGUAGAGGUCCCUGGUUCAAAUCCAGGCAGGCCCA